rnacentral:rRNA from 1 species
UUACUUGCGAGUUGUAAUUUGAAGAGGAUGUUUCGGUUGUGACCUUGGCCUAAGUUCCUUGGAACAGGACGUCGUAGAGGGUGAGAAUCCCGUACACGGCUGUAGGUUUACUUCCAUGUGUAACUCCUUCGAAGAGUCGAGUUGUUUGGGAAUGCAGCUCAAAAUGGGUGGUAAAUUUCAUCUAAAGCUAAAUACUGGCGAGAGACCGAUAGCGCACAAGUAGAGUGAUCGAAAGAUGAAAAGCACUUUGAAAAGAGAGUUAAACAGUACGUGAAAUUGUUGAAAGGGAAGCGUUUGCAAUCAGACUUGCUUGCGGUUGAUCAACGUUCCUUCUGGUUCGUGCACUCUGCCGUUCGCAGGCCAGCAUCGGUUAGGACAGUGGGACAAAGACUCAAGGAAUGUGGCUUUCUUCGGGAAGUGUUAUAGCCUUGUGUGUAAUGCCACUUGACCUGACCGAGGUCCGCGCUUUUGCUAGGAUGCUGGCGUAAUGGUUGUAAACGGCCCGUCUUGAAACACGGACCAAGGAGUCUAACAUCUAUGCGAGUGUUUGGGUGUCAAACCCAUACGCGUAAUGAAAGUGAACGGAGGUGGGAGUCUUCGGAUGCACCAUCGACCGAUCCUGAUGUUCUCGGAUGGAUUUGAGUAGGAGCAUAGCUGUUGGGACCCGAAAGAUGGUGAACUAUGCCUGAAUAGGGUGAAGCCAGAGGAAACUCUGGUGGAGGCUCGCAGCGGUU